AGGUCGGUAGUGUAGUGGUAGCACGUUCCAUCAAUACGCAAUUUUAAGCAAACACCUCAUAUGAUGUUGGCGUUGGAAAAGUCGUAGGUUCAAAUCCUGCCUGGGCUA